rnacentral:rRNA from 1 species
UACGAAGGGGGCUAGCGUUGUUCGGAAUUACUGGGCGUAAAGAGCGCGCAGGCGGUCGAAUAAGUCGAAUGUGAAAGCCCCCGGCUCAACUGGGGAGGGUCAUUCGAUACUGUUCGACUUGAAGGCAGGCAGAGGGAAGCAGAAUUCCCGGUGUAGUGGUGAAAUGCGUAGAUAUCGGGAGGAAUACCAGUGGCGAAGGCGGCUUCCUGGCCUGUUCUUGACGCUGAGG